GGCUCACAAACACAUACCACUCAUAUACCACACACAUACACAGCACUUGGAGGGUGAGAAGGGGAGAAACUGGAGAUAAUUUUAUAAUAAAAAUACAUCCCCAAAGCAACAACUGAAGAUGCACACUGACAAACCCAACUAUUCUUUACUUUUGGCAAAAGUGUAUGUAGCAGUAGUAGUUUACAAAAAUAAGUUAGUCCUCUGGUAUACACAUUUUCACAGUUUGAACAGGAAGUUAGUUUCCACUGUCUUCCAGAGUAUCCCCAGCACACAUCAGCCUUCUGCACCCUGCUGCUCAGAAGACACUUUCAGGGUGGAUCUGUUCCGAAUCCGUUUCCUUUUCCUUUUCUUUUCGGAAGCAGGGGACUUUGUAUCCUGUGCUUUCUUCUUUUUCUUCAGGCAGCUGAGAGGAUUGGGGCCGCCCACCUUCUUCUUUUUCCUCCUCCUCCUCCUCAGGUCCGGGUUCCGCACCAGGCCUUGCUCCUCCUUCAGUUGCUUGAUACUCUGUUUCUCGUGCACUGAGACCAGCUGACCCGCCUCGACCGCCUUCACAAAGGCCACUGUUCUGGGAGAAGGCUUGUCCAACACUAUAGUGUUCUGAAUAAUGAACAUGAGAGGAAUUCCAGGAGUCCUCUUGACUUUCACAGAUAAGUUCUGAUCCUAUUAAAAAGGAAAGGGGUUUGGUUUCUCAAUCAAAAUUAGAACCUAAAAUUAAGUUUCUAUUAAAAAAGGCUAGAUGGGGAAAAAAAGAACUAUAUGUUUUCUUUUUCAGAUGACAUGUCUUAUUAAUCAAAAUGUAUCUUACGGUAGAGGACAGAAAACAUAAAGACUAAGCAGAAUGAAGCCACUCAACAGCAGUCGGGGCUGGAUCAGUCAACACUCUGGGCCCACGAAUUAUCAACCAAUGCAACAGAAAAUACAUUAGAAACUUUCUCUUGCCUUUCCACUAGAUAUUCUCUCGAAACAUCGACAAGGGAAGAGGUUGGAGCAGAGUAAUAAGCUGACUCCACAAUCAUAUCUGUAUACCUCAUGUGUGCCUAGGUGGCCGUAAGAUGGCGGUGGGUUCCUUGAGACUGUAGGUACACAUGGUUGAGAGCAGCUGUAUAGGUGUUGGGAAUUAAACCAAGAGCAGCCAGCUCUUAACCCCUGAGCCAUCUCUGCAGCCUCCUGAUGCUAAUCUCAGAGCACAUGCACCAUGAGCUGAGAAGCAGGAAUUCAGGAACAUGCUAGGUUAUGAGUCCAGAAGGCAGAGACUGCCCGACUCCUCCCUGCUUGAAGAACCGUGACGCAAUCAGCACACUACUGCAACAGCUCCUCAGCCUCUAGAAGGAAACUUCUGAAGGAAAAAAAGUCCCCCAAACUUAGUCUCCUCCUCAUAUGUUCAAAUGGACCAGAUACAAUGAGCCUUCCAGAUACUGAAGAGGACUCCAGG
rnacentral:lncRNA from 1 species